AAAGGAAUAAAAAUUAAAGCUGCUAACUUUAAAUAUAAUGAAUAAUAUCAUUUAUCCUUUA
rnacentral:tRNA from 1 species